CGGGUGAGUAACACGUGGAUAACCUACCUAUAAGACUGGGAUAACUUCGGGAAACCGGAGCUAAUACCGGAUAAUAUAUUGAACCGCAUGGUUCAAUAGUGAAAGACGGUUUUGCUGUCACUUAUAGAUGGAUCCGCGCUGCAUUAGCUAGUUGGUAAGGUAACGGCUCACCAAGGCAACGAUGCGUAGCCGACCUGAGAGGGUGAUCGGCCACACUGGAACUGAGACACGGUCCAGACUCCUACGGGAGGCAGCAGGA
rnacentral:rRNA from 1 species